UAAGAUGUUUAUAUCAGGGAAUAACCUUUGCAACGUUAAGUAAAAGGUUUCAUAUGAGAUAUAUUGAUAAGCGGUAACAUAUGACCAAUAAGCAUGUGAUGUGUUCCACUAUUUAGUUUCAAUCACAAGAAGUUCCAGGUACCCAUCAAUUUCAUAUAAGCAUUUUAUAAUAGAAUUUUGGACAGUCUCAAAAAAUGUGCACCACUAAUUAACACAUGCAACCAUUCUUACAUAGCGAAGGCAAAGCUUCAAUUACUUUCAGUAGCUUGAAACUCAGAAACUCAGAAAGCAUAAUUUGUUAUCAGUCCUGUACAAGGCUCAUUUAAUUUUGAAACCUUCUUAUGCUUGAAACCAUCAAUGUAGAAACUGAAACAUCACUGUGCACAGAGGUUAUCGUUCUACUGAGUCACCGGACGAAUAAACACAUAUCACCAUGAUCAAGGCCUCGACCAAGUGACAUGUCUUUUAGAAAAUAUAUGUAGAAUCUCCCGUCGUCGGACUUAGUCCCCCGAAAUGCGGAGACCUAGAGACAUAAAAACAAAUUAGCACCACAUAGUUAAUGACAGAGAACCUAUCAAUGAAAUUCCAUCUAAGCCACCGAAAUUUACCGGUUGCGCCAAUGACUCAAGUACCUAAUUUAAAACAAUAUUUAUCUGCUUAGCAUUUGGUACCGACAUUUUUUCCAGAGAAUAACAUCACAAGUUUUAGGAUGCCUUUUCUAAUUGAAGACGUAAAAUCCCCGCUUACAUCAUGGACUAUAACAGUGUCCCUUUGACUAAUAUAUAUGUAAUAAUAUUAAUGUAUGAACAUGUAUAUCAUACCAGUGUGCCUCUGCUAGUUAACUACCCUUUAUUAUAAGUGUGCAACAAGCAUUACCCUUUGCAUAUAUAAAUAGUAAGCAGGCGAUCUGUUGGAUUCUAUAACCCAUAUAUUAAAAAUAAAAUCCUUUAUCGUAAGUAGCUACCAUUGGUUUGGACAUACGUAAACAAUAAGCAGGUGGUAUACACUGAAUUCUGGAACACCCGCAUUAAUUAUCUGUGCACUUAGCCUUCCCUUAUCAGCAAGCAGCAAAUAUUCUCUCAAAGAAGUAAUCUCAUGUAUUGCAAAAAGCUAAGAUAACUGGGCACAUCCCACACACGUUGAUAUUAACCAACAUGCACAUAUUUGUCCUAAAGCAGUAAGCAUGAAGCAAACCAAUCAUAAGCACUAACAGAAAAAACCUUCUCAUGUCUCCCAACAGUUCAAAAAACCUUCAGGAAUGCCUACUAAUUAGCAAGGCCAUGUUCUAGCGUACAAAAAAAUUAUUUCCAUCCAGUAUAUAAUGCAGAAGCAAGUAUUCUCUGGAAGGAUAUAUAUAUUCAUAUAUACCAAAUAGACAUAGUAUAAGUUCCAACGAUAAUGUCAUACCUAUAGCAGAGACAUAGCCUCAAGAAACGUUGUCCAUAGUAAAAAAAACCAUUGCAGCAGAAACCAGAAGACAACAUCAGUGUGGUUCGCAAGAAGAGGAAGCCAUUCUGUUCAUGCCUAGCACAACAGCAAAUUGAAGAGAACCUACAUUACACGGCAUAAAAUCCUGUUAAGAAGAAAAUCUAAUGUGAUAUGUAACUAUAUGGAUACACUCGAGUUGUUAUAAUUACUUAGGAAUUUUGAAUGGAAAAUUUAAGAAAAUAAUUCAAAUUAUUGCUUUUCCUAUAGGGGCCCUAUAACCAGAAUAUAGCUGCACAGAAGAUCAUCAGGUAAAAAAACUUUAGUAGAUUCAUGAAAAGCAAAUGCCAAGAUAAAAGGUCUGACAUAACUGUCCAGAUUUUGUAUCAACCAGUCAUAUAUAUACAAGCAUUUUACCUCUAUAAACAACAUUUUAAUGGUGGAGUAAUCAAUCUAAACAAUUUUAAAUUAAAAACAAAAUAUCUAAAGACUAAGCUCUAGUUCAUGUAUUUUAGAGAAGUUCAGUUCGGCGAAACUACGGAAGCAAAGGUCUGAAGAUAUGAUACACGUCGAACUAUGUAUUUCCAUCAGCCUAAAAAUUCUGAGAAUUACAUGGUACCGAUACACGUCGAACUCUGUUAAAGCAGUACAGUUACAAGGCCAGAAAGACGGUUCAAGUAACGAUGCAGGGUGCUGAACAGACCUGCUUCAACUUCUUCAGAGAAUCUUCUACAUCUGCUAGCUUCUCUGAAACUGUUUUCUCAAGAUCAGAAGAGUAACCUUUUCCUUCUUCCAUGUUUCAGAGGUAGUAUUUGAGUGUGAGCAAAGUGCCUUCCACACAGAAGAACUGUUGAAAAGACAAGUAACAGCAAGAUCUUUCCUACACAAGCAACAACAAAGAAUUGUUGAGAGUAUCGUCAAAUUUAAAAUUUCUGAGCUUUUAUGACAAAUUUUGACCCAAAAAAAGUUAUCGGAAUUUUUAAAAUUUUCACAGAUCAUCAACCAUACCAGGUGUAGCAAUCUGGGUAAUUUUCACAAAUAUACCUACCAAAUGUACUAACCUGGGAAAUUUUACACAAAAAAUAUGAAUAAUUCCUAGAAGGAAGGCAGUGGUAAGCGAAUAAAUUUCAGUUCAAAUCGGCAUUGUUCCAAAUACCGGCCAGUUAAUUGGCAUCUCGGUCAGUUAAUCGCUACUCGGUUGGUCAACGAAUUCGCCUAUUUAUCCCUACUCAGCACCCGGCCAAUAUGGUACCAAUUACCGAUAUCCUGAAUGUUGCAAAUCGGGUAUCUAAACUAUUCUCUCAGCAGUAUAAUUGCAUUCUUAUAGAAAAGAAAGCAAGUAAAAAGUAGGAGGUACUUUCUAGAAAGCAGCAAGAUUGAAGUAUACACUGAUUUAUUUGUAAGAUGUGUCUUUAUUAUAUUCAGCAUAUAACAUGGUUGACAACAAUAGGGGGUAGAAAUAAGUAUUGCUAGAGCUUUGAACAAAAGCUAAUCACUAUAGCUCUGUAUUGUUGCAUGUUGUUAUCUGAAUUCAGUAAAUCUACUAUGCUUGUGCUCUUUAGGAAACAUCUCCAAAGAUUUGCAGCAAUUUCAGUAUAACAUCUCCAGGUUUUUGAAGUCAUGUUCAUUAUUAUUCUUUCGUAUAGAGUUGUUUACUAAUUUCAGUUCUUCUUGAAACAUCACAUAUCACUGGCUACUGCUUCUUUUCCAAAAUGGGGAAUGCGGCAAAAAUACAUAGCCUAAAAUUACAUAAUACAACCUUGAUCGACAGUUUGCAAGAAGAACUUCAGAAAAGAAGGGAAUAUUAAGAAAAAAAGAAACAGAGAAAUAUUGUAAUGGUUACGAAGUUGUCUUUCUGAAUGUGAUCAGCCCUUCUAAGGUAAUAUUGCAAUAUGCAAGGUGCACAACACCUUGUAAGUUGCAGAAACACAUAUAGGGAUCUUAAAAAAACUCAAACCUUCGAAGCACUGUCACUAUCUAAAUACUAAAUUCUAAUUCUUGGGAACUUAGAAAGAUAAAAUCAGUGCUGACAUGCUAGUGGAGAGCAUAGUGAACACAAUAGUGCUUAAGAAAUUUGUCUGCGAUCUUCUCUAGAUAUGGUUAUAACAUCACCUUGCAUGAAUACAUCAUGGCAUAGUUGAGGGCAUUGGACAAUCUCUACAUGCACUGGGUGGUCUAUUUAAUAUUCUUAAAGGAUCCAUGUCAAAAGAUAAGAUUUGACGGUAUAAGUAGAAGAACACAUGUGUAGUUAUUGACAGAAACAGAGAAGUAACUAUAAUCCAAACAAUGCUUCAGCAAGAAAACCUACUUGCUCUUAACUGGACAGCAGUCAUUGCUCGCGAAGUGUUGUUGGCCAUCUGAAGAGCAGGUGUAGGAGAGAGACGAGUGGCGGCCUAAUUUUGGCUGUCAUAAGGGUCGGGAUCCGCCUCCCUUAGCUUCUUCACAUCAAGGACUGGCCUGAACUUAUUUGGGUGUCGGUACCCUGACUCUUGGAAUGUAACAAAGGAUCAAUGGAUUAGUAACAAAACUAACUGAUUGUAGCUUGCAUACGUUAUAUGUACUCACUAUUUUACUGAGACAUAUCAACACUAUAAUGUAGAAAAUGCAUGCAGAUCAACAUAACUGCACAAAAACCACCCAUGCAUGACACUGAAAAUUGCACGAGAGGCUAGAGCUAUUUUGUGCUGAUCGAAACAAUAUAUAUUCAAGGAAAUCUGUAUUUAUACAUGGAUAAUAUCUAACUUGAAAGGCCAAAUUAGAUUUAGGACAUCAAACUAUGGCCUGUUUGAGAACACCAAACUAAACUCCUGCCUGUUCAAUUCAGAAGACGAAAAAGCUUCAGCUGGUACAACAUCAAAGCGAUUUUUGCAGAGUUAGAGAAUUUCAUUGUCGUGAAUUAGUGGACAGCGAGAUUUAGGCAUUUUUUCCAUUGGAAUUAACGGCACUCUUUAAUCCUCACGGUCAUCCAGAUGUAUAUAGUACAUACUAAUCUAGCAUACAACUGUAUGGCCCAGCUUGAAUCACAUGGGAUGAUGAAAUACAUAGGCUAUGGAUAUGACGAACCUGAAAAAGAUAGGCAAAUAACACAAAUGAUUACCUGCAAGCUGCAUCGUCAUUCAUACUUGACCACUUAAAUCUUGGAGGCCGUCGUCCAUGCUGAUGCUUGGCCCUUGCCAUCUAAGCCGUCUCUAUCUUGGAUGGCCGACAUGGAGAAAGGGGCUGGAGGAAGAAGAUGGAGAAGCCGUGGAUCCGAGGCCUAGAUUGGGGACGAAUUAGCCUUCCUAUAUUAGACACCAAUUCAUUGACUAAAAAGAAAGUGGCGAGAGAAAUCCAUAACUGAUGGAUAGUACAGAAUGGGAUGAAAUCAUAUGUCCCCAGCAAAGCAUCUCCAUAGAAGAGGUAAAGAGAGUGGGGCGGGGGCAGAUGGCCAUCGCUCCCGCUCCCGUGGUCUCGACCGCCACCUAUUUAGGCUAUUGCAGCCCGCAUCGCUCGAUUUCGCUGCGUCCCUUCUUCCUCCUUCAGACCACGGCCAGGCAGAGAGAGAUCGAGGAGAUGGAUGACGAGGGUAGCCAAACCCUAGCCACAUGAGCUCCUUCCUCCUCCACGGCCAACACAGCAUGGCCAGCUGCUGCUCCCCUCCUCCUGCCGAGUCUGGAUCGAGGCCGCGCUCGUGGAGGCAGAGCACGGGACGACCGCAUCUGGGCCACCACGCGACACGGACGAGGCGCGGCUGGCUGUUGCCCCCUCCUGCCGAGCCGCUCCUCUGCUCGAGCUCAAGGUGGCUAUGGCGACGAGGCGGAGAACAAGGGUUGGAGGUCGCCGGUGGCCAGUGAGGGCGAGGCGAGGCCCUGGCGCGGCGGUAGCGGGAGAGGAGGCGGCGGCGGGGGUCGCGAGGGAGCGGAAGGAAUCGAGGAUGACGUGAGAGGGGCUGACGAGGGAGAUAUUUUCAUCUUCGUGGCUAAUUCAAUCGCACCGAAACAAGGCGAAACCACCUCAUGAGGUCCACCCGCCAUCGACUCUUGAAGCAGCCCCCAACGUAAAAAAAGACCAACGGCUGACCAGACGCCAACAGUAAAAAAAACACACUGUUACUGCUCGAGUAACUCCAUCGUGUGGUCAAAGACAUCGUGCGCGCUCGAUGCCUCCAGAACGGCGGGUUGUCUAGCGUCAUUUAUCUUUCCCUAUUUUUUUUUUUUACUAAUAAAGCAAAUAGUGCUUCUGGUCGUCCGUCAAAAAAAUACCCUUAAAGUUGCUAUAAAUUACCCGCUGUGCCACUCAUAAGUCAAGAAAACGAUUCAAUUUUUUGGAAGUCAUCGUCGCGCACAGGAGUUUAUAAAAUAAAUACCCCGCGCAUGUCACAGACGCUCUACCAGCUCAGUGGUUGAAGCAUAUCUUCUCCACCGCGCAGACCCGGGUUCGAUCCCCAGGGUCGUCCUAUUUCCUCUACCUUUUUGUCAAGCACCUCCUCCCUCCCACAUACGCGUUCAUGGGCCGGCCCGUGGGGCGUCACGCCCCUAUUCUGUUUUCAUUUCGUUUUUUCUUUUCUCAUUUCUGUUUUUGUUUUUCCUUCUUUAAAUUAAUUCGAGAUUUUCAAAUUACAAAAGGUUGCAAGUUUUGAGAAAAAUAUUCGAGAAAUCAUAGAAUGUUUAUGAAUUCAAAAAAUGUGUGAGAACUCAUAAAUUUUCCGCAGUUUUCAUUUUUUUGGUGAUUCGCAAAACUGUUCGCAAAUUAUAAAAAAAUCACAAUUUUUCAAAAUUUGUUCCCCAAUUAUAAAAAAAGUUUAUCGAUACAAAAAAGGUUUGCUAACUCAAAAAAUGUUCAUCAAUUCAAAAAAUAUGCAUGCAUUUCAAAAAAUGUUCGUCUGAACAAAACAAAUGUUCAUGAAUUCGAAAACAAUUCAUGCAUUUCAAAAAAUGUUCGUCUGAACAAAACAAAUGUUCAUGCAUUUAAAAAAUGCCCAAAAUUUUAAAACAAAUGUUUCUCGAUUAGAAAAAAUGUUCGUCGAUUCAAAAGUCUUUCAUGUCUAGGAUUUGGGUAGUUUUUGGAAAGUCUUUUUAUGUCUAGGCGCUAGGAGUAGUUUGUGGUCCAUGAAAUUUGUUUUUAAAGUUUUAAACAAUCUCUAGCGCGCGUGCCAUGCAGUGCCAAGCUCAUUGCCUUGGGAUUUACCACGUCAAAUGCAUUGCGAUCACAUGCAUAUCGUGUACAUCAUCAACGAGGGUGUGGGAAGAAAGAUAAGUGGAAACAUGGUGAGCCACCAUGUGAAAAUAAAGAACACUCAUAAUUUGGGGUAUUGAGUCAUACUUAUUUGGCUGGCGUGUAACUUUUUUGUCUCCCGUUGCAACGCACGGGCAUGUUUGCUAGUAUGUUCAAUUGGGUGAAAGGUGAAAGAAGGAUAAGCGUUGCGAGCAGCACGGUGAAAACCUAAUCGCCAAUCCCCUUCCGUCCUCGCAUCUCGCCCACUUUCUCCUCCCUUCGCCGCCGCCUCCUCUCCUCGCCUCUUCCCAUGCUCUACACCACCACCACCACCACCACCACCACCACCACGCCCCUGCUCCUACACCGCCUCGCCGCCGGCCGUCUCUGCGCCUGUUCGUCUGCCCCCUCGGAAGGCACCGAGUUGCGGCCAGCCCGUGCUCAGCCUCCGCCCAUGCGCUCGAGAAGAAGAGAGGGGCAGCCGCAGGGUAGGAGCAGCCACAACAGUCGCCAGUGCUGCCUCAU
rnacentral:lncRNA from 1 species